GACGAACGCUGGCGGCGUGCUUAACACAUGCAAGUGGAGCGACGAACCGGGCUUCGGCCCGGGGCAGAGCCGCGAACGGGUGAGUAACACGUGGGUAACCUACCCCGAUGACCGGGACAACCCGAGGAAACUCGGGCUAAUACCGGAUGUUCUCUGUUUUCGUAAGGAAACCGAGCAAAGAUAGCUUCGGCCUUCGCAUCGGGACGGGCCCGCGGCCCAUUAGCUUGUUGGUGGGUAAUGCCUACCAAGGCUGCGANGGGUAGCUGGUCUGAGAGGACGAUCAGCCACACUGGGACUGGAGACACGGCCCAGACUCCUACGGGAGGCAGCAGUGGGGAAUCUUGCGCAAUGCGCGGAAAGCGUGACGCAGCAACGCCGCGU
rnacentral:rRNA from 1 species